AUUUUCUUUUUAAACUCUUUUAAAAAUUUCAAAUUUUUUAUUUUCUUAGAACAUUGCUUUGUGGUUUUUUAAGAAUGUCUUGCGUGUAUAUUUACUAGGCUUAUAUUCUACGAAUCCUUUUUCCAGUCUGUCCGUAUCAAAGAUGAACGCAAAUUAUAUAUUACAUAUCUACCUUCUUCCUGCCUAACUGAGCUGGCAGUAUGUAAAUUGCACUAUAGCCACCGAACAAACCUAUGUUAAUAUCUAUGGCUCGACUCUGGGAACGCCCGCAGUGAUGUCUUACGGUUGCACACCAGGGAAUACCGAAGUUGAAGGUCGGGGGCGGAGGAGAAGCUACGCAGCAGGAGCCGGCAGGACAUUUCAAUUUAAUUCAAAAUUCUGGCAAGCGAGACAGCAAAAUAUGGUUUAAUAUACCGAAUGACCUAGGAUUUUUCCUUUACAUGUUGGACCACCUCAAACAAAAAUAAAACAUGUACACAGACACAAUAAAUGCUAAAUGCUGAACGCGACACACACAUGUCUCAAAAGUGCUGUCAUGUACUCGACGAUGAGUUGGAAAACGGAAAAACGGAGUGGAAGAGCAACUUUGUUGACGCCGUUGACUUUAUACGUCAAUUUCAUCGUCGUCGUGAGGAGUUUUCGUUUCGUUUAUAGCAGUCAAGGGAAAAUGAGAGGAGGCACUGUGGCAGGGACCCGGGGUUUCGACUGCAAGCAAACGUCAACAGCAGGCGGAGGAGGCUGUUACUAGAAGGCUUUCACAUCGGCUGUCUUUCCUAGUCACCAGACCUGGCUCCUAUGUCAAGUUGUCGUUGCCGUCGACGUCGUUGUUGUGGCCAAGUCAACCGCAUCAUCAUCGUCAUCGCCGCCGUCAUCUGCCUUUAACUACAUUUUCGUUACACUGCUCACCUUGGCUAACUGUAUGUUUUCGCUAUUCUGCAAAUAUCCUGGAAUAUUGUUAUUUACCUAAUUAGUUAUUAAAACGUUUGAUGAGCGGUACCAAAAAAAAGGUACU